UACGUAGGGUGCGAGCGUUAAUCGGAAUUACUGGGCGUAAAGCGUGCGCAGGCGGUGAUGUAAGACCGAUGUGAAAUCCCCGGGCUUAACCUGGGAAUGGCAUUUGGGACUGCAAGGCUUGAGUGCGGCAGAGGAGACUGGAAUUCCGCGUGUAGCAGUGAAAUGCGUAGAUAUGCGGAGGAACACCGAUGGCGAAGGCAAUCCCCUGGGCCUGCACUGACGCUCAUGCACGAAAGCGUGGGGAGCAAACAGG
rnacentral:rRNA from 1 species